GCGUCGCUUCAGAGUUUGAUCCUGGCUCAGGAUGAACGCUAGCUACAGGCUUAACACAUGCAAGUCGAGGGGCAGCAUUAGUCUUAGCUUGCUAAGAUAGAUGGCGACCGGCGCACGGGUGAGUAACACGUAUCCAACCUUCCGGUUACUCGGGGAUAGGCUUUCGAAAGAAAGAUUAAUACCCGAUGUUGCGUAUCUUUCUCCUGAAAGAUACGCCAAAGGAUUCCGGUAACCGAUGGGGAUGCGUUCCAUUAGGCAGUUGGCGGGGUAACGGCCCACCAAACCUUCGAUGGAUAGGGGUUCUGAGAGGGUGAACGGCCACAAGGGGACUGAGACACGGCCCUU
rnacentral:rRNA from 1 species